AAGGCGUGCAUUGAGACCCGAAACCUUAUUCUGCUAGGUUUACGGGAGCAUCAACACCCCGAGA
rfam:Trypanosoma theileri isolate Edinburgh TM35_Tth_5_V1, whole genome shotgun sequence.